UGGCGUGGUGGACCGACCAGGGGUGACGGUGGGUUUGUCGUUUUUCGCCUUCGUAAUUUGACGAUAAUAAUUUACUCCAUCCUCCCGUUCCCCCGUUCCCCAUUCCCACUCCACCCUCCGCUGGCGACUAGUGAAAUGCCAAAUCCCCACGAAUUCCCGAGGGCUUUGCGGCGAGCGCGGCCGGCGGGAGAGCCGGCGACGUGUUAAUUCAAGGCAGCGAAGGAUUCCGCAACAGUUCGACGAGGGAGAGGGCGGCGCGUGUGUGCCAGAGAUGGAGGACAAGGAAACGGCGACGGGGGAGGGGUGUGGAGCAGGUGGUUCUGCGCGAGGCGGCGACGAACCCGGGAGACACAAGUUCCUGCUGCUUCGACGACCCGAGAAACAAGGUGCAAGGCAGAAGACAAGAUACAAUUCAAGAGUCAGUAGCCAUUUUAUGUAGCAUCCAAGGUCUACACGUGUGUAGGGGGAUGCAAGAAGGGGCAUGAUACUAGCCAGGUUCUCAAACAAUCCGGUACAGGGGGCAAUUUCUGCAAGUAGUAGAUCAGGGGGGUAGGUACAGACAGGGAAAUCCACAAGUUCUAGAACGAAGUUCAUGGACAAAACAAAUUGGAACAACCUGUUACCUUUUGUUGUUCACACGGGAGAAAUUUGCCCAGCUCUGGCAAUUUUUUGCCUGACCAGCAAGAAAGAGUUGCAGACGCAAUUGCAUUUUCAGGAUUUUUUUCCCA